UAGGGAAUCUUCCGCAAUGGACGAAAGUCUGACGGAGCAACGCCGCGUGAGUGAAGAAGGAUUUCGGUUCGUAAAACUCUGUUGUUAGGGAAGAAAAAAUGUAUAGUAACUAUAUACAAAAGAGACGGUACCUAACCAGAAAGCCACGGCUAACUACGUGCCAGCAGCCGCGGUAAUACGUAGGUGGCAAGCGUUGUCCGGAAUUAUUGGGCGUAAAGCGCGCGCAGGUGGUUUAGAAAGUCUGAUGUGAAAGCCCACGGCUCAACCGUGGAUGGUCAUUGGAAACUAAUAAACUUGAGUGCAGGAGAGAAAAGUGGAAUUCCUGGUGUAGCGGUGAAAUGCGUAGAGAUUAGGAGGAACACCGGUGGCGAAAGCGGCUUUUUGGCCUGCAACUGACACUGAGGCGCGAAAGCGUGGGGAGCAAACAGG
rnacentral:rRNA from 1 species